rnacentral:rRNA from 1 species
UACGUAGGGGGCAAGCGUUGUCCGGAUUUAUUGGGCGUAAAGAGCGUGUAGGCGGCCAUGCAGGUCCGUUGUGAAAACUCGAGGCUCAACCUCGAGACGCCGGUGGAAACCGUAUGGCUAGAGUCCGGAAGAGGAGAGUGGAAUUCCUGGAUGUAGCGGUGAAAUGACGCAGAUAUCAGGAGGAACACCGAUGGCGAAGGCAGCUCGCUGGGACGGUACUGACGCUGAGGCGCGAAAGCGUGGGGAGCGAACAGG